UACGGCGGCGGGACAGUUCGCAAGAACUGCCUGAGGAAAGUCCGGGCUUCACAGAGGCAUAGCAACUGCUAACGGCAGCCGGGGGCGACCCCAGGGAUAGUGCACCAGAAAGAAACCGCCCGCUUUGCGGGUAAGGAUGGAAAGGCGAGGUAAGAGCUCACCAGCGCACUGGCGACUUUGCGGCUAUGUAAACCCUGCUUGAAGCAACAUCCGUAUGGGACAUUAUGCGGAGCCUCGCGCGUCCCGGUGAUGGCGUGAGCCUUGCGGCAACGUAAGGCCAAGAUAGAUCGUCGUUUGAUACAGAACCCGGCUUACGGUCCAGUC
rnacentral:RNase_P_RNA from 1 species